GGAGUACGGCCGCAAGGUUAAAACUCAAAUGAAUUGACGGGGGCCCGCACAAGCGGUGGAGCAUGUGGUUUAAUUCGAUGCAACGCGAAGAACCUUACCUGGUCUUGACAUCCACAGAACUUUCCAGAGAUGGAUUGGUGCCUUCGGGAACUGUGAGACAGGUGCUGCAUGGCUGUCGUCAGCUCGUGUUGUGAAAUGUUGGGUUAAGUCCCGCAACGAGCGCAACCCUUAUCCUUUGUUGCCAGCGGUNNGGCCGGGAACUCAAAGGAGACUGCCAGUGAUAAACUGGAGGAAGGUGGGGAUGACGUCAAGUCAUCAUGGCCCUUACGACCAGGGCUACACACGUGCUACAAUGGCAUAUACAAAGAGAAGCGACCUCGCGAGAGCAAGCGGACCUCAUAAAGUAUGUCGUAGUCCGGAUUGGAGUCUGCAACUCGACUCCAUGAAGUCGGAAUCGCUAGUAAUCGUAGAUCAGAAUGCUACGGUGAAUACGUUCCCGG
rnacentral:rRNA from 1 species